rnacentral:tRNA from 1 species
AAGGAAGGCCUAAAGGCAGUAAGUACUGCUAAUACUUAUGUUCAUGGUUAAACUCCGUGGCUUCCUUGU